GCCCUUAGAGUUUGAUUCCUGGCUCAGGACGAACGCUGGCGGCGUGCCUAAUACAUGCAAGUCGAGCGGACAGAUGCGAGCUUGCUCCCUGAUGUUAGCGGCGGACGGGUGAGUAACACGUGGGUAACCUGCCUGUAAGACUGGGAUAACUCCGGGAAACCGGGGCUAAUACCGGAUGGUUGUAUGAACCGCAUGGUUCAAACAUAAAAGGUGGCUUCGGCUACCACUUACAGAUGGACCCGCGGCGCAUUAGCUAGUUGGUGAGGUAACGGCUCACCAAGGCAACGAUGCGUAGCCGACCUGAGAGGGUGAUCGGCCACACUGGGACUGAGACACGGCCCAGACUCCUACGGGAGGCAGCAGUAGGGAAUCUUCCGCAAUGGACGAAAGUCUGACGGAGCAACGCCGCGUGAGUGAUGAAGGUUUUCGGAUCGUAAAGCUCUGUUGUUAGGGAAGAACAAGUACCGUUCGAAUAGGGCGGUACCUUGACGGUACCUAACCAGAAAGCCACGGCUAACUACGUGCCAGCAGCCGCGGUAAUACGUAGGUGGCAAGCGUUGUCCGGAAUUAUUGGGCGUAAAGGGCUCGCAGGCGGUUUCUUAAGUCUGAUGUGAAAGCCCCCGGCUCAACCGGGGAGGGUCAUUGGAAACUGGGGAACUUGAGUGCAGAAGAGGAGAGUGGAAUUCCACGUGUAGCGGUGAAAUGCGUAGAGAUGUGGAGGAACACCAGUGGCGAAGGCGACUCUCUGGUCUGUAACUGACGCUGAGGAGCGAAAGCGUGGGGAGCGAACAGGAUUAGAUACCCUGGUAGUCCACGCCGUAAACGAUGAGUGCUAAGUGUUAGGGGGUUUCCGCCCCUUAGUGCUGCAGCUAACGCAUUAAGCACUCCGCCUGGGAGUCCC
rnacentral:rRNA from 1 species